UACGUAGGCAGCAAGCGUUGUUCGGAGUUACGGGGCGUAGAGGGUGCGUAGGCGGUUGUUUAAGUUUGGUGUGAAAUCUCCCGGCUCAACUGGGAGGGUGCGCCGAAUACUGAAUGACUAGAGUGCGGGAGAGGAGAGUGGAAUUCCUGGUGUAGCGGUGAAAUGCGUAGAUAUCAGGAGGAACACCGGUGGUGUAGACGGCUCUCUGGACCGUAACUGACGCUGAGGCACGAAAGCGUGGGUAGCAAACAGG
rnacentral:rRNA from 1 species